AAACCGUGCGCCCUCCACCUCUCAAAAACCGAAAUGACGCCACCAGGGUCGUUUGCCGCCGAUGUGUACGAAGUGCGCGGUGUAAAACGUAAAACGCUCGGCUCGAAAUUCCGGAACGUGUGGCGAACGAAAAUCGCUCUUACGUCUCCGGGGCGCCCGAAAAAUACGUAAACGUCCCCGCGUCCCCGGCGCCGUGUUGACGGCGAAAAUUCUCGGACAGAGUCGGACAAAGGCCGGGGCGAGAAGAGUACCGUUCCGGGGUUCGGCGUACCAACACGUUCCCCGCGGUUGUACUAUGACACAUUAUAACGCGUACGGCGCUAUGUUCGAUUCGCGUUCGUUCGCGAUAAGACCGCGGCCGUUAUGAAUGCCGUUACG